rnacentral:rRNA from 1 species
ACUCCUGACUGACCGAUAGUGAACCAGUACCGUGAGGGAAAGGCGAAAAGAACCCCGGCGAGGGGAGUGAAAAAGAACCUGAAACCGUGUACGUACAAGCAGUGGGAGCACCCUUUGGGGUGUGACUGCGUACCUUUUGUAUAAUGGGUCAGCGACUUAUAUUCUGUAGCAAGGUUAACCGAAUAGGGGAGCCGGAGGGAAACCGAGUCUUAAUUGGGCGUUAAGUUGCAGGGUAUAGACCCGAAACCCGGUGAUCUAGCCAUGGGCAGGUUGAAGGUUGGGUAACACUAACUGGAGGACCGAACCGACUAAUGUUGAAAAAUUAGCGGAUGACCUGUGGCUGGGGGUGAAAGGCCAAUCAAACCGGGAGAUAGCUGGUUCUCCCCGAAAGCUAUUUAGGUAGCGCCUCGUGAAUUCAUCUCCGGGGGUAGAGCACUGUUUCGGCUAGGGGGCCAUCCCGGCUUACCAACCCGAUGCAAACUGCGAAUACCGGAGAAUGUUAUCACGGGAGACACACGGCGGGUGCUAACGUCCGUCGUGAAGAGGGAAACAACCCAGACCGCCAGCUAAGGUCCCAAAGUCAUGGUUAAGUGGGAAACGAUGUGGGAAGGCCCAGACAGCCAGGAUGUUGGCUUAGAAGCAGCCAUCAUUUAAAGAAAGCGUAAUAGCUCACUGGUCGAGUCGGCCUGCGCGGAAGAUGUAACGGGGCUAAACCAUGCA